rnacentral:rRNA from 1 species
UACGGAGGGAGCUAGCGUUAUUCGGAAUUACUGGGCGUAAAGCGCACGUAGGCGGCUUUGUAAGUAAGAGGUGAAAGCCUGGAGCUCAACUCCAGAACUGCCUUUUAGACUGCAUCGCUUGAAUCCAGGGGAGGUGAGUGGAAUUCCGAGUGUAGAGGUGAAAUUCGUAGAUAUUCGGAAGAACACCAGUGGCGAAAGGCGGCUGCACUGGCUCGUAACUGACGCU